GUGAAGGUAAGGCUGGGGCAGCUCCUGUGUGCCAGUCCCUGAGGCGGAGGGAAGGGUGCUUCAAAGCUGAGGUGUAGCUGUGCAGGGAUAAAGUAUGCUUUACUUGUCAUGUAUCAUAGGUGAAACCUCAUUCUUGUGAAUUAAAAGUACACUGGCUGAGCAGCUGUCAUUGGAUUUUAGAACACUCAUCUGAAGGGCAUUAAUUUGCUACAAGGCUUCCUAGUUACAUGGUCAGUAAUACAAAGAAGAAUGUAAGCCGGGAAGUCUGUGAUAAGAACAAUAAAAACAGCAUUUGCUCCAAGGAGCAAAACUGAAGCAGACUUCACAAACUACAGGAAGAGAAGGAAAGAAGGUAAUGUGUGUAUUCAGUUGGACACAGGGAUUUUCCCUAAAACAAUAAUUAAGACAACAAGUAACUAUGUAUGGAGAUAACUAAAGCGUAAUAGAAAACCUGAAGAAAGAAAUGGAAACGUGAUUUAAUAAGGCUCAGCAAGCAGCGCAUCUGGGGAUGAUACUGCAAGACAGAUGGUAUCCUGAACAGAUCUGUGCUCUGAAAACUCAGAUGACCCCAUUUCUUUAGAUUACCAUGCAAGGAGAUGACCCUGAAAAAGUGAGAAAGUACAGGGCUGGAAUGCUAGCUGAGUGAGCCCCAGGGACAGAAGACAGUUUGAUCCUAGCUGUCUGUUAUUUGAACACAGAUCUAAAAGAAGAUAAGGACAAAGAUCCGCAUUUCACUGCCCAACAUAUUAUAGAUGUCUUUGCAAAACAAAUGCAAAGCUUGUUGAAAGCAGUAGCAAUUACAUUUAGUUGGAUUUUACUCACUGUUAUUUUAGGAUUGAGCAACCAUGCUGAGAAAUGAAAACAAAAGUUACGUCAGAAGAAAUGACACAUAAGGCUUUAUGUUUACUUACUUAUUUUUAUAUGUAUAAAAUAUAAAAAUAACAUGUAUGUUUAUAUGGUUGGUUGUAUAGGAAAUGUGAGGUUUACAGACCAUUUGUCACUGCUGCAGCCACUGGAAUGGGCCAGCAAAUUUGUGGCCCUGUGUCUCCUUACAGCUGCUUUUUAUAUUUGGAGUAUAAACAUUGUUAGCUUCUGAAGGAUUUAUCAGUUUAGAGGACAGCUGUGGAGUGUUUAGGAGAGGACCUAAGGACAACAUAGCUCCAAAAUAAGUAUGUGUUUGGCUACUCCAUCUUCUGACACGCGAGAUACUUCUACAGAGAAAAGACUUCCAAGAAAGUAGACAGCCUUCCAGGGAUCUCCUGCAAGUACUUCCUCACUCAACACCACAGGCUUUGAAGGCUUCUUUCUGUGAAUUUUUCUUGUCUAACAGAAAAAAGAAGAUAUGUGAAUGGAUGAAUGGAUGGAAUAUGUACGAUUAAAAAAAACAUUCAAAACAUUACAGGAGACACACUUUUUCCAUGAGAAAAAAAAGCCACAUGGAAAUUCCAUGAAAAGUCACAUCACUUAACAAACUCCUGGAAGGCUCUCAGAUGUUAGAGUUGCUACAGCUAAUACCACACAGAACAGCAUAACUGCAGCUUGCAAAUAGACAAAAACCUGAUCGUUUUGUUGACAACUUAUUUUGCUCACACAUGCAGUUAAAAUUAAAUGUAAGCACUGUCUGGUAGUUUUUGGAAGACAGAAGAAUAACAUCUAAGCGAUAGAAAACCUCUGUAGCAAGCAAGACCAGUUCUGAAUGUAAAUUUAUUUUCCAUUUGUGUAUUUUUUUUUUACACAACAUAAAUACGUACAAAACAGUACAUAAGGAAAACCUAGGAAAUCAUGCUUAAUAUGACCUUUUCCCCCUUUGUCCUUACAGAGGAAGGCUGUCAAAUGCUCAUGAGCUCCCCAUCCAUCAUGUUUCAUAGGAGAACAGGAGACAGUAGGCAUCUUAAGCUGGCCUGUAUGGAUUCACACACAGGGAUCUUCCUCCAACACUGUUGUGCUUAACAGCGAAGAAAAUUCCAACUGCCCUUUUAAGAUAUCUGAGUUUUAUCUGAGGGCACACUGCUCAUAUCUGAAAGUUUUAAAAUAAAUGUCGAAGUCUGUUGUAUA